GUAGAAUGUAACGGUUGUAGUGUGGAUGUAGUGCUGUAAUGGGGUAGAAUAUACCGGUUGUAGUGUGUAUGUAGUGCUGUAACAGGGGUAGAAUGUACCGGUUGUAGUGUGUAUGUAGUGCUGUAACAGGUGUAGAAUGUAACGGUUGUAGUGUGUAUGUAGUGCUGUAACAGGUGUAGAAUGUAAUGGUUGUAGUGUGUAUGUAGUGCUGUAACAGGGGUAGAAUGUAAUGGUUGUAGUGUGUAUGUAGUGCUGUAACAGGUGUAGAAUGUAAUGGUUGUAGAAACUAACAGCAGUCAAGCAUAAUGGAUGUACUUUCCAGUUGUACUUGACGUUUUUCCGUUUUUAAUAGCGUGUUUUCAGUGUGCUGUGCCCUCAUAUGAGGUGCACGUUUCCUGACACAUCAUUUUCU
ensembl:lncRNA